rnacentral:rRNA from 1 species
GACGAACGCUGGCGGCGUGCUUAACACAUGCAAGUCGAACGAUGAACCCGGAGCUUGCUCCGGCGGAUUAGUGGCGAACGGGUGAGUAACACGUGGGUGAUCUGCCCUGCACUUCGGGAUAAGCCUGGGAAACUGGGUCUAAUACCGGAUCGGACCACUGCCUGCAGGGGGGGCGGUGGAAAGCUUUUGCGGUGUGGAUGGGCCCGCGGCCUAUCAGCUUGUUGGUGGGGUGAUGGCCUACCAAGGCGACGACGGGUAGCCGGCCUGAGAGGGUGACCGGCCACACUGGGACUGAGAUACGGCCCAGACUCCUACGGGAGGCAGCAGUGGGGAAUAUUGCACAAUGGGCGCAAGCCUGAUGCAGCGACGCCGCGUGAGGGAUGACGGCCUUCGGGUUGUAAACCUCUUUCAGCACCGACGAAGCGCAAGUGACGGUAGGUGCAGAAGAAGGACCGGCCAACUACGUGCCAGCCGCCGCAGUAA